CUCCUGCAUUGCAUCAGUGAGAUUACUUAAAGCUUCUCUUCUUUCCCUCUGCAGCUGCAGUGCAAGAAGACCACAAAGGCCUGCUGUUGGGAUAGGAGUGGUUUUAUUGUGUUAUCCAUAACUCAGGCCAUACACAGCAAUAUGUACUUCAUAACUAAAAUGCAGAGACAUCCAGAGUGCUGCAUGCUCCAGGCAAAGCCACGGCUUGCACCUUUCGGUGCCUCACAGCUCAUGCCAGGUCACACGAGACGAUCUCACAGCAGAUGCAGCAUGAAGGAAACAGCUUCAUAGCUCUCGGGUAGCUGUGUCACAUGGAUGGGAGUGUGCUUGACUCACCAAGCAAGCCUGACGACGGGAAGAAGAUCAGUAAUAAUGAAGUGCUUCUCGGUAGGAAGUGCGGAUCAGUUGCAAGCUGUUGGUCAGUGCAAGAUCUGCACUGUCAGCUGGCAGCAGUGUCUGGCCUUCUCAGCCAGCCUUGCUGCUGCUUCCUCCCCACAUCUCCCCUUUCCUGCAUGCUUUCAUCUCCCCUCCAGCUUUCACUCAACACCUGCCUUGUCACCCUUCCAACCCCACACAUACUUCAGUUUUUCUUCCCCAU
rnacentral:lncRNA from 1 species